GUUGCAGGCUAUCGUGUGUUAACCUGUACUUCUGCCGCAGAGUUUGGAGAAAGCGGCAGCAGAUUGUGCUGCCGCAGGCUGGAGCCUGGAACCUGGAGCCCUGGAGCCUUGAAUGGUGUGUGGUGGCAAUGGAGAGAGGCAGCUGGCAGUGACAGCUGCUCCGUGCUUGGCUACAGGAAGGAAAGAAGGAGAAAGCACCUACCAUAGGCUGGAGGCUAGAGCCUGCAGGACUGCGGCUGGCCUCGCUGGCUCGCCUCCCUGGCUGGCCUCGCUGUGGUUGGUGGCAGCGACGGAUACUGCAGCUGGCCAGAGUGUAGAAAGGCAAUGGGGAGCGCAGUCCUGGUGGGCCCAGCGGUUCCUGUGGAUUGGAGCCAGGCAGUGUGAUGUUACCAGUCACCACUCCAGGUCCCAGUUCCUGGCCCGCUUGAGCCAAAAGGAGAGGCUGGACUUUGGAGGGUGGAUAUGAGUGCCUUCACUGAGACUGGCCCCUGCCACCCAGUGGCCAGGAUGACAAGCAAGGUAAGCUGUCAUCAGUUGGAGGUAAGCAGAAGACAGUAGAGAGUACAGAGCCCUGGACUGUGACUCAGAGGAUGAGCACCAGAUCCAGUUUGCUGUGCCACAGUGGGCCUGUGAUAUUUUGAAGCAGGAAGCUGACCUGAGACCUUCAGAAUAAACUGAUCACUGUGGAUAAUGAAAAGGCCCCACCCAGGACAUUGAUUGAGCACCCCUGCCUGUCUCAUUCCUUCUUCUCUUUCUUUUUAUUAUGUGCUUACCAUAAUAAAAAUUUUUAUUGUCUUUA
rnacentral:lncRNA from 1 species